rnacentral:rRNA from 1 species
CCUACGGGCGGCAGCAGUGGGGAAUAUUGGACAAUGGGCGAAAGCCUGAUCCAGCCAUGCCGCGUGUGUGAAGAAGGCCUUCGGGUUGUAAAGCACUUUCAGUGGGGAAGAAAGCCUUGGGGCUAAUACCCUCGAGGAAGGACAUCACCCACAGAAGAAGCACCGGCUAACUCCGUGCCAGCAGCCGCGGUAAUACGGAGGGUGCGAGCGUUAAUCGGAAUUACUGGGCGUAAAGCGCGCGUAGGCGGUCUGAUAAGCCGGUUGUGAAAGCCCCGGGCUCAACCUGGGAACGGCAUCCGGAACUGUCAGGCUAGAGUGAAGGAGAGGAAGGUAGAAUUCCCGGUGUAGCGGUGAAAUGCGUAGAGAUCGGGAGGAAUACCAGUGGCGAAGGCGGCCUUCUGGACUGACACUGACGCUGAGGUGCGAAAGCGUGGGUAGCAAACAGGAUUAGAUACCCCAGUAGUC